AGUGAACGCUGGCGGUAGGCCUAACACAUGCAAGUCGAACGGCAGCACAGUAAGGGCUUGCUCUUACGGGUGGCGAGUGGCGGACGGGUGAGGAAUACAUCGGAAUCUACUUUUUCGUGGGGGAUAACGUAGGGAAACUUACGCUAAUACCGCAUACGACCUACGGGUGAAAGCAGGGGAUCUUCGGACCUUGCGCGAUUGAAUGAGCCGAUGUCGGAUUAGCUAGUUGGCGGGGUAAGGGCCCACCAAGGCGACGAUCCGUAGCUGGUCUGAGAGGAUGAGAGCCCACAUGGGAAGUGAGCCGGGUCCAAGGGUACUAGGGGAGGGCGCAGAGGGGAAUGGGGGGCAGGGGGGGGGAGCUUGCCCCAGCAAUAGGGGGUGGGAGAAAGCGGCCUGGGGUUGGUAAAGCCUUUUUGUGGGGAAAAAAAAGCAGCCGUUUAAUACCCCGUUUUUCUGAGGGUACCAAAUAAAUAAGCACCGGCUAACUACGUG
rnacentral:rRNA from 1 species